CGCGGGUUUAGUCUCCGCUUAGAUAGUGCGAAAUUAACGUGUAAUAUUUCACUGAACGCUCUCAAACGUUGCAGGAAUAUUGUUUCCAUCGCGUAGUUUCGACUAUUCUUUCGAAAAGUGUCAGUGAUCGUAAAAUCGAACGCGAUAUCGCGAAUUUGUGAUCGACGAGGGUCGCUCGUCUCUCGUAGAAUUAUUGGCGUUCCUAUUUCGUGUCGCCCUCUGUUGUCUAGAAAAUCUACCUUCGGCACGACGUUCACCCUGAAAGUAUCGAAUGAACAUACAUAUUUACGAAGGAAUCUGGCAAACUGUGAUUACGUGGCACGCUGUGAUCCAUGGAGAGUCUUAACCUCGGCUUUGAUCGCCCUUACAACAAGCAACAGGUCGUACCAGGACAAAGGCCUGGCGUUCGGCGGAGGUUUCCGUGGAUCGAGGAACAAGCGCCGACAAACGUGUGGAGACCACUUCAGACCAGUUUCCGCAUAGUAGUUACGCAGUCCAGAGUACCGUCGGCCUCCAACCCCCGAAACGAGGCCACCGCCAAGCCUUAAGUGGGCCAGGUAAACGGGGAAGGACCGUGGAAGUUAUUACGGGAGCGACACUAGCGCCGCCCUCGCGAUGUCUGCUGCUUGAUCCACUUCUACAGGCAGCCACGUGUUCUGGCUUCUAGUUCGGUCGCACACGAUGUAUAGUAAAGAUUGGAUAAGUGCAAGACAGGAUUCACUGGAUAAAUGCAAGACGACUCGGCGAGUGAGUAAUAUGACACUAACCGAUUUAUACGCUUCUGACGACUACUUCCUUUCCUCUGAGCUCUUUCUGUUUCACUCUCUGUCCUUUUCUACGUAUGACUAGAGUCAAAUGUAAACACGGAAUAGAAACCUCGACUGGAUAACCGCAAUGUUUGGGUCACGACUUUUGUACAUUUCAUCUGACAACAUACAUUCGAAAAAACUUUCCUAACAUGGUACACACUUCGCCGCAGAAACAAAAUCAUCCGAUUUAUUUGGAUGGACUCUUCAGUCACGGAAAUAUUGUUCAAUUUACGAAUGUUGUAGUUUCAAGUAGAAAAUUCCGGAGCAACGUAAAUCGAACUCGUUAACGAGUCAACGUAUACAAAUUUAUCUUGAGCCCACAGGUGAGCAAAUGUAAACGCUCAACAAAUCAAAUAAUUUUAUUUCGA